UCCCGAGUAGCUGGGACUACAGAAGCCCGCCACCACGCCCGGCUAAUUUUUUGUAUAUUUAGUAGAGAUGGGGUUUCACCAUGUUAGCCAGGAUGGUCUUGAUCUCCUGACCUCGUGAUCCGCCCGCCUCAGCCUCCCAAAGUGCUGGGAUUACAGGCGUGAGCCACCACACCCGGCCACAACAUAAUCUUUAUCCUGGCUGAUGAGUCAACUUAUUUCACCAAUAAAAUGGUGAAUGCUU
rnacentral:lncRNA from 10 species